AAGGAAAAAAAACUCUUUUCUUUCCCUUCUUCUUCUUCUUCCUUCCCCCAACGUGAAGACCCUCUUUAUGAGCCCUAGCAGCCGCUGGCCAUCUCCUCUCCAACUGGCAUGGCACGUCUGAUCGCCAUCAAUUCGUCGGUCAUUCAUUUGUGGGCCGUCGUUCGCACAGGUCAGCUCAAUCUCGUCAGCAAGUAGUGAUCAUCCAGAUCUUCUUCGUUGCGCACCAAUCUCGCCCAGCCAAUCAGAUUCGCAUCCGCAAGCUGUCGUCAAUCGUCUGGCUGCUUCGUCCGUGGGUCGUCGUGCCAUCAGCCAAGAUCUGAAGCCGAAUGACCCAGCCCAGCCGUUGAAACUUCCGUCAUGAGCCGUUCCUCUGCCUAAUCAUCUGAUCCGUGCGACCCACCGCCGAAUCCAGCUGACCGCCUCCCUCGCGCUGCGUGAUGCCACUCACCGUUCGUAGGGUGCAGUCGCGCCACCAUGAGUCACCUAGCCUCGUCAGCUACCAAAUCUGAGUCGAAGCUCCCCCAGGCACACCGUCCAGCCUUCAAUCGUCGCCGCCGCUCCAGCUUUUGACCACCACCCAUCAUGUCGAUCUCACCCAGCCGGUCUGAAUCGCUACUGCCGCUCCAGCUUUUGACCACCGUCCAUCCCCGCGCGUCCUAUGUUCUGUUGUGUGGGUCUUCGUCAGACUCUUAGAUUUUGGUAAGAUCUAUUUUGUGGUUAGGUUUCUUGAAAGAUUUUGGAUGCCCACUAAAUUGGAUUAAAGAUUAAAUUAGUCGCUAAAUUGGAGAUUUGAGUUUGGGAAAUUAAAGCAGCGACUGUCCAGUGAUUCAAGAUCGUUCGACAAGAGUUUUGGAAAAGGUAUAGAUGUACCGGCGAUGGCGCAGUGGAAUUCGUGAUUGUGUCACUGGGACUAGACAUCUUUGCUUCCGCAUCUUGAAAUCUGUUAUUUGGUUUUACUGUUUAAAAUUUAUUACUAAGGAUUAUUUCUUAUAUAUGCUUUUGAUUAGCCUUUAAGAAUUUUGGGUACCCUAUUAACUGUUUUAACAAUUGCAUUUAAUAAAUGUCUUUUGAACUUCUCUUGUUUUAA